GUGCCAGCAGCCGCGGUAAAACGUAGGGGGCCAGCGUUGCUCGGAAUUACUGGGCGUAAAGGGUCCGUAGGCGGUGCGGCAAGUCGGAAGUGAAAUCUCCAGGCUUAACUUGGAGGCUGCUCCCGAAACUGCCGUGCUGGAGUGCGGGAGAGGCGAGUGGAAUUGCAGGUGUAGCGGUGAAAUGCGUAGAUAUCUGCAGGAACACCAGAGGCGAAGGCGGCUCGCUGGACCGCAACUGACGCUGAGGGACGAAAGCUAGGGGAGCAAACAGGAUUAGAUACCCUAGUAGUCC
rnacentral:rRNA from 1 species